UACGUAGGGGGCUAGCGUUAUCCGGAAUUACUGGGCGUAAAGGGUGCGUAGGCGGUCUUUCAAGUCAGAGGUGAAAGGCUACGGCUCAACCGUAGUAAGCCUUUGAAACUGGGAAACUUGAGUGCAGGAGAGGAGAGUGGAAUUCCUAGUGUAGCGGUGAAAUGCGUAGAUAUUAGGAGGAACACCAGUUGCGAAGGCGGCUCUCUGGACUGUAACUGACACUGAGGCACGAAAGCGUGGGGAGCAAACAGGAUUAGAUACCCUGGUAGUCCCUGA
rnacentral:rRNA from 1 species